rnacentral:rRNA from 1 species
UUGCGGUUAAAAAGCUCGUAGUUGGAUUUCUGUUGAAGACCGGCGGUCCACCUUUUGGGUGAGUAUCUGCUUGGGCUUCGGCAUCUUCUCGAAAAACGUUGCGGCGCUUGAUUGCGUGGUGCGGAGUUCGGGACUUUUACUUAGAGGAAAUUAGAGUGUUCACGGCAGGCAUACGCCUUGAAUAUAUUAGCAUGGAAUAAUAAUAUAGGAUCUUGGUUCUAUUUUGUUGGUUUCUAGAGCUAAGAUAAUGAUUAAUAGGGACAAUUGGGGGCAUUCGUAUUAUACCGUCAGAGGUGAAAUUCUUGGAUUGGUAUACGACGAACUACUGCGAAAGCAUUUGCCAAGGAUGUUUUCAUUGAUCAAGAACGAAAGUAAGGGGAUCGAAGAUGAUUAGAUACCGUCGUA